GACGAACGCUGGCGGCGUGCUUAACACAUGCAAGUCGAACGGAAAGGCCCUGCUUUUGUGGGGUGCUCGAGUGGCGAACGGGUGAGUAACACGUGAGUAACCUGCCCUUGACUUUGGGAUAACUUCAGGAAACUGGGGCUAAUACCGGAUAGGAGCUCCUGCUGCAUGGUGGGGGUUGGAAAGUUUCGGCGGUUGGGGAUGGACUCGCGGCUUAUCAGCUUGUUGGUGGGGUAGUGGCUUACCAAGGCUUUGACGGGUAGCCGGCCUGAGAGGGUGACCGGCCACAUUGGGACUGAGAUACGGCCCAGACUCCUACGGGAGGCAGCAGUGGGGAAUAUUGCACAAUGGGCGGAAGCCUGAUGCAGCAACGCCGCGUGCGGGAUGACGGCCUUCGGGUUGUAAACCGCUUUCGCCUGUGACGAAGCGUGAGUGACGGUAAUGGGUAAAGAAGCACCGGCUAACUACGUGCCAGCAGCCGCGGUGAUACGUAGGGUGCGAGCGUUGUCCAGAUUUAUUGGGCGUAAAGGGCUCGUAGGUGGUUGAUCGCGUCGGAAGUGUAAUCUUGGGGCUUAACCCUGAGCGUGCUUUCGAUACGGGUUGACUUGAGGAAGGUAGGGGAGAAUGGAAUUCCUGGUGGAGCGGUGGAAUGCGCAGAUAUCAGGAGGAACACCAGUGGCGAAGGCGGUUCUCUGGGCCUUUCCUGACGCUGAGGAGCGAAAGCGUGGGGAGCGAACAGGCUUAGAUACCCUGGUAGUCCACGCUGUAAACGGUGGGUACUAGGUGUGGGGUCCAUUCCACGGGUUCCGUGCCGUAGCUAACGCUUUAAGUACCCCGCCUGGGGAGUACGGCCGCAAGGCUAAAACUCAAAGGAAUUGACGGGGCCCCGCACAAGCGGCGGAGCAUGCGGAUUAAUUCGAUGCAACGCGUAGAACCUUACCUGGGUUUGACAUGGAUCGGGAGUGCUCAGAGAUGGGUGUGCCUCUUUUGGGGUCGGUUCACAGGUGGUGCAUGGCUGUCGUCAGCUCGUGUCGUGAGAUGUUGGGUUAAGUCCCGCAACGAGCGCAACCCUUGUUCACUGUUGCCAGCACGUUAUGGUGGGGACUCAGUGGAGACCGCCGGGGUCAACUCGGAGGAAGGUGGGGAUGACGUCAAGUCAUCAUGCCCCUUAUGUCCAGGGCUUCACGCAUGCUACAAUGGCUGGUACAGAGAGUGGCGAGCCUGUGAGGGUGAGCGAAUCUCGGAAAGCCGGGCUCAGUUCGGAUUGGGGUCUGCAACUCGACCUCAUGAAGUCGGAGUCGCUAGUAAUCGCAGAUCAGCAACGCUGCGGUGAAUACGUUCCCGGGGCU
rnacentral:rRNA from 1 species